UACGAAGGGGGCGAGCGUUGUUCGGAAUUACUGGGCGUAAAGGGCGCGUAGGCGGCGACCCAAGUCAGAUGUGAAAGUCCUGGGCUUAACCUGGGGACUGCAUUUGAUACUGGGGUUGCUUGGAAUUCGGGAGAGGAUAGCGGAAUUCCCAGUGUAGAGGUGAAAUUCGUAGAUAUUGGGAAGAACACCGGUGGCGAAGGCGGCUAUCUGGACCGACAUUGACGCUGAGGCGCG
rnacentral:rRNA from 1 species